rnacentral:rRNA from 1 species
AUUGAACGCUGGCGGCAGGCCUAACACAUGCAAGUCGAACGAGUGGCGGACGGGUGACUAAUGUCUGGGAAACUUCCUGAUGGAUGGGGAUAACUACUGGAAACUGUAGCUAAUACCGUACACCAUCGGAUGUGCCCAGGUGGGAUUAGCUAGUAGGUGGGGUAAAGGCGCACCUAGGCGACGAUCCCUAGCUGGUCUGAGAGGAUGACCAGCCACACUGGAACUGAGACACGGUCCAGACUCCUACGGGAGGCAGCAGUGGGGAAUAUUGCACAAUGGGCGCAAGCCUGAUGCAGCCAUGCCGCGUGUAUGAAGAAGGUCUUCGGGUUGUAAAGUACUUUCAGCGGGGAGGCGUUACCCACAGAAGAAGCACCGGCUAACUCCGUGCCAGCAGCCGCGGUAAUUC